GACGAACGCUGGCGGCGUGCCUAAUACAUGCAAGUAGAACGCAGUUGCGAACGGGUGAGUAACGUGUAGGUAACUGCCUGGUAGCGGGGGUUAACUAUUGGAAACGAUAGCUAAUACCGCAUACUACCAGAUGGACCUGCGUUGUAUUAGCUAGUUGGUGGGGUAACGGCUCACCAAGGCAACGAUACAUAGCCGACCUGAGAGGGGGAUCAGCCACACUGGGACUGAGACACGGCCCAGACUCCAACGGGAGGCAACAGUGGGGAAUAUUGCACAAUGGGCGCAAGCCUGAUGCAGCCAUGCCGCGUGUAGGAAGAAGGCCUUCGGGUUGUAAAGUACUUUCAGCGGGGAGCGUUACCCGCAGAAGAAGCACCGGCUAACUCCGUGCCAGCAGCCGCGGUAAUAC
rnacentral:rRNA from 1 species